GGGGUUUCGCAUGCUCCCUUCUGUACCAACAAAACUUAACUAUGGUCCCACCCACAUUGUCAGGAAGAGAUCCUCUGCCAGUGUCACCUCCUCAUUUCCACCAUUACUACUGCCACCUGAUAGCGGUUUUGCACAGCUACCUUCUGAUUUAUCUUCUCUGCAACAUCUUAUCUGUCAUGGGAAAUCCUAAUGGAGCCACUGCAGCUUUCAGCAUAAUCUCUUGCCUAAUAGCAGUAAGCAAGCCCACCACUGGAAAGGUUGUCUUUACUUUGAAAGUCCUUGUUCUACCUGGGAAACUUGGUUUUUGUGGCCGAAACUCCGUGAAAUUGGUGGACACUGGUGGACACAGUGCUGCCACAAUGCACAAUGCGCAAUGUGCUGUCACAGGCAUCUGGGAAAGAGACCAUUGCAUGGACACUGGGCAGCCACUGUGCACAUGUAGAGUUCACAGUGUGAACCCCUGGGUGCAAUGCCGACAUAUUACCGCCAGCCAAAAAGGCAGGCAUCCCCACCCCACCCCAGGAGGGAAUCUUUCCCGAACUGAAGGAUACUGCGGCUGCACCCAAACCAAACCAUACCAAACCAAAACCAAUCCAAACCACUGCAGCAGCUUCCAGGAAACUGAAGCCAGCGCUGAAGGACCAGCUCCCAUUUUGCUCCCAUCUUGAAAAUCAUGAAAACCAUUGAACACACAAAGGUUGUCUGUUCUGUUUGAACAGGAAAAAUAAAUAACCCUGUCCUGUGUUAUGCAUCAGAUGCUUAAAAAUUGGGGGAAAGCAUGCCAGUUUUGGAAACUCUACAUGAAAACAAAUCUGGCUGACGGUGAUGGACACUGGACAGAGCAAACAGCAUCAGCAGCCACGACCCUGGGGGGGGGGGGGGUCAGCAUCAGCAAACUGAAGUGACCCUUCCGAAAGCUCAAAAAGAUGUGGGAGGACAUCAUGCCGCCAUGUAACUGCCAGGCAAAAAGCCAUAUGCCCCCCCCCCCCCCCCUGGGCACAGUUGGGCAGUCACAGCCCCGGAGAAAAAUAUAUAUAUAUAUAUAUAUAUAUAUAUAUAUAUAUAUAUAUAUAUGAAGGAAAUAUAGUGCCUCAGUGAGGUGAACUAAGUGUUUAGAAAGUUUAAAGAUAUCAACAGCUUUGUGUAACCAAGUGAGUGCAAGGCAAUAUGUGUUAUAACACCCAAAUGGAACUGAAGUAAGGAACCU
rnacentral:lncRNA from 11 species